rnacentral:tRNA from 1 species
GCGGGUGUAGCUCAGUUGGUAGAGCGUCUGCCUUCCAAGCAGAAUGUCGACGGUUCGAACCCGUUCACCCGCUCCA